rnacentral:rRNA from 1 species
CAGGCGUAGCAAUACGUGCUGACGAGCGGCGAACGGGUGCGUAAUACAUGGGAAUCUGCCUUUUAGUGGGGAAUAACCCGGCGAAAGCCGGGCUAAUGCCGCAUAAGAUCUUCGGAUGAAAGCGGGGGAUCGUAAGACCUCGCGCUGAUAGAUGAGCCCAUGCCGGAUUAGCUAGUUGGUGAGGUAACGGCUCACCAAGGCGACGAUCCGUAGCUGGUCUGAGAGGACGACCAGCCACACUGGGACUGAGACACGGCCCAGACUCCUACGGGAGGCAGCAGUGGGGAAUAUUGGACAAUGGGGGCAACCCUGAUCCAGCGACGCCGCGUGUGUGAAGAAGGCCUGCGGG